rnacentral:lncRNA from 1 species
AGCGAGGCUAUGGGAGUUCGGCUCCCGUAGACGAAGUCAGGGCGAAGUUCGGCUCCCGUGGGAGUCUGGACGAAGAUCACCAGCAGUUGAAGUUGGUGACGAAGCCCGACUCCCGUGGGAGUCCGGACGGAAUCCUCCCUGUGAUUGGAGUCGCGGACGGAGCCCAGCUCCCGUAGGAGUCCGGGUGGAGUCUUCCUGCAAUUAAAGUAAGGUGCGA